rnacentral:rRNA from 1 species
AUGAACGCUGGCGGCGUGCCUAAUACAUGCAAGUCGAGCGAACGGACGAGAAGCUUGCUUCUCUGAUGUUAGCGGCGGACGGGUGAGUAACACGUGGAUAACCUACCUAUAAGACUGGGAUAACUUCGGGAAACCGGAGCUAAUACCGGAUGAUAUUUUGAACCGCAUGGUUCAAAAGUGAAAGACGGUCUUGCUGUCACUUAUAGAUGGAUCCGCGCUGCAUUAGCUAGUUGGUAAGGUAACGGCUUACCAAGGCAACGAUGCAUAGCCGACCUGAGAGGGUGAUCGGCCACACUGGAACUGAGACACGGUCCAGACUCCUACGGGAGGCAGCAGUAGGGAAUCUUCCGCAAUGGGCGAAAGCCUGGCGGAGCAACGCCGCGUGAGUGAUGAAGGUCUUCGGAUCGUAAAACUCUGUUAUUAGGGAAGAACAUAUGUGUAAGUAACUGUGCACAUCUUGACGGUACCUAAUCAGAAAGCCACGGCUAACUACGUG